AGGCCCGUAGCUUAAUUGGUAAAGCAGAAGCUUUCGUCUUUAUAAGAAUAUGCAGGUUCAAAUCCUGCCGGGUCUA